rnacentral:rRNA from 1 species
AUUGAACGCUGGCGGCAUGCUUUACACAUGCAAGUCGGACGAGUGGCGAACGGGUGAGUAACGCAUCGGAACGUACCGAGUAAUGGGGGAUAACUGUCCGAAAGGACAGCUAAUACCGCAUAUUAUUCGAGCGGCCGAUGUCUGAUUAGCUGGUUGGCGGGGUAAAGGCCCACCAAGGCGACGAUCAGUAGCGGGACUGAGAGGAUGAUCCGCGACCCUGGGACGGAGACGCGGACCAGAGUCCUACGGGAGGCCGCAGUGGGGAAUUUUGGACAGUGGGCGCAAGCCUGGUCCAGCCAUGCCGCGUGUCUGAAGAAGGCCUUCGGGUUGUAAAGGACUUGUGUCAGGGAAGCGGUACAUGAAGAAUAAGCACCGGCUAACUACGUGCCAGCAGCCGCGGUAAUAC